rnacentral:lncRNA from 1 species
GGAACAUGACCAGAUGUAUGUGGACAGCUGCAAGAACAAAGGAUUCUGGCACUAAGAAGUUUGCAAUAACCAGCAACACCUCCUCUCCUUUUGGUAUGAAAGAUGUCUGAAUUCUAACUCAGAUGUCAGUGCUCCUGGUCUCAUGCUUUUGGACACAGAGUGGGACUUACCAUCAGACCCAUGAAUCUCAGUACUUCAGACUUGGACUGAAUUACACCACUGACUUUCCUGUUCUCCAGCUUGCAGAGAGUAAAUCAUGGAACUUCUCAGCCUCCAUGAUCACAUGAGGUGAUUCCAUAACUAUCUAUCUGUCUGUCUGUCUGUCUGUCUGUCUGUCUAUCUAUCUAUCUAUCUAUCUAUCUAUCUAUCUAUCUAUCUAUCUAUCUAUCUAUCUAUCUAUCUUUCUAUUUGUCCAUCCAUGCUAUUGUUUCUGUUUCUGUGGAGAACUCUGGAUAAUGCAUAUUUGGGUACUGAGAGUGAUUAUAUUUUAUUAUUUUUAUUUUUGGCUGGACCCAUGGCAUCCGGGUGAGGGAUUGAAUCUGCAUCACAGCAGUGACCCAAGUCACAGCAGUGACAAUGAUGGAUCCUUAACUUACUGUGCCACCUGGGAACUCUGAAAGUGGUUCUAGAAGAACCACAUUUUUGUAAAAAUUCAAUUAUUUAUUUAUUUAUUUAUUUAUUUGGUCUUUUUGCUAUUUCUUUGGGCUGCUCCCGAGGCAUAUGGAGGUUCCCAGGCUAGGGGUCAAAUCGGAGCUGUAGCCCCUGGCCUACGCCAGAGCCACAGCAAUGGGGGAUCAGAGCCGCGUCUGCAACUUACACCACAGCUCACGGAAACGCUGGAUCGUCAACCCACUGAGCAAGGGCAGGGACUGAACCCGCAACCUCAUGGUUCCUAGUCGGAUUCGUUAACCACUGCGCCACGACGGGAACUCCGUAGAAGAACCACAUUUUUAAGGAAGAGUUUUCUGAAUUUGUACUUGUGUUAUUGGAAUUGGCUGUCUAAUAUGAUUACAUUUAAAAAUGCUAAUGGAUCUAUUUCUUCUUUUUUUUGUCUUUUUAGGGCCACACCCAUGGCAUAUGGAAGUUCCCAGGCACAGGGUCAAAUCAGAGUUGCAGCUGCCAGCCUAUGCACAACCACAGCAACAACAGAUCUGAGUCGUGUCUGCAACCUACCCCACAGUGCAUGGCAACGCUGGAUCCUUAACCCACUGAGCAUUUAGCCAUAGCCAUGGUCAAGAUUCAUGGGUCCAGAAUCCUACCAAGGGGUAGAAAUGGGAGUGGCACUACCCCUUUUUACCUCUAGUGAUCUGCUGACAAAAUUUUUAUUUCCUAUCCUUGUGACCUUAUGCUCUGAUGCCCUAGAGGCCUCAGUUCCAAGGGGAGGAAUGAUUCCACUAGGAGGUGCAAUGGCAAUUUCAUUAAAAGGAAAGUAAAGACUGCUGCCCCACCACUCUGGUCUUAUUGUGGCUCCGAAGCAAUAGGCAAAGAAGGGAGUUACUGUGCUGGCUGAGGUGACUGAUCCUGACUACCAGGGGGAUAUUGGACUAUUUCUCCACAGUGGAGGUAAGGAAGAGUAUGGUUUUUUUAAAAAUUAUUUUUUUUCCAUUAUAGCUGGUUUAUAGUGUUUUGUCAAUUUUCUACAGUACAGCAAAGAGACCCAGUCAUACAUACAUAUAUACAUUCUUUUUCUCACAUUAUCCUCCAUCAUGCUCCAUCAUAGGUGACUAGAUAUAGUUCCCAGUGCUAUACAGCAGGAUCUCAUUGCCUAUCUAUUCCAAAGGCAAUAGUUUGCAUCUAUUAACCCCAGAUACCCAGUCCAUCCCUCUCCCUCCCCUUAGGCAACCAUAAGUCUAUUCUCCAAGUCCAUGAGUUUCUUUUCUGUGGAAAGGUUCAUUUGUGCUGUAUAUUAGAUUCUGGAUGUGUGAUAUCAUAUGGUAUUGGUCUUUCUUUUAAGGAAGAAUAUGUUUUGAAUACAGGAAAUUCCUUAGUAUUAUAUUACCAUGCCUUGUGAUUAAAGACAAUGGAAAAUUAUAAGAAUCCAAUUCAGGCAGAACUACUAAUAUCCCAGACCAUUCAAAAAUGAAGGUUUCAGCCAUCCCAUCAAGCAAUAUUGAUGUAUUUGUGAGUUCAUUUAUUCUAUAUAUCUUUGUGCCUUCAUAAAGAGAAAAUUCACCUAUAUUUUUCUAAAAUAUAUAUAGGAAUUCUCUGUAUAUCCUUUACAUGAGUAAUGCAUGGUUUCCUUUCAAAGGUUCCUUUUGAGGAAUAAAAUUGUUAAUUUCAAGUAAUUACAAUUCAUCAAAAUUUAAUUUCAAAGGUCGUGCAUUUUGUAACCUGUUAAAAGAUCUUUGCAGGUCCCAAAUCAUGAAGAUAUAUGAUCCUGUUUUUUUUUUUUUCUAGUGAUGUUAUCGAAUUGUUCUUCCCAUUAGUUUGGUGACCCAUUUCAAAUUAAUAUUUUGUGUGUUGUAAGAUAAUAGUCAAGGUUUGUUUCUUUCCAAAUUGAAAAGAACAGUCUUUCCCCACUGAACUACAGUGGCAUGUAAAAAAAAUACACAGUGUUUAGAAGUAUUUCUAGACUUUCUAUUUUGUUGCACUGUUCUAUGUGUCUAUUCUUAUGCAGACACAAAACUGAGUUACUACAGACUUGUAGCAAUGCUUGGUAAAUGAUAGUGUAAUAUAACAACUUUGUUCUUCAAGAUUGGGUUUGCUAUGCUUUGCAUUUACAUAUAAAUUUUAGCAGAGGCACGUCAAUAUCCACACCAGUAAAAUCUGAUUUGAUUUUAAUCAAUUCCUGAUUAGUUGCAUAUCUAAAUGGACAUGUACCUAUAAAUAUUUAGAAUAGUGCCAGAGUCAUAAGAAGCAAUCAAACCAUUAUAUUUCUCCAGAACUGUACCUCAAUUUAUAUACUCAAACCACCAGCAAAUAUCGAAUGUAUAAAAUCAUUUUUUUGAAUGAUAGUUUUUUUUAUACAUACAGUGCAGACAAUUGAGACAACGAAUUAUAAAUUUUUUCAGGAGCAAGAUUAGUACUUAAUUGUAAAGGAGCAUAAAAUAUAUUCUUAAACUUGCCUAUGGGUAUAGGUAAAGCAUACCCAAACACUUCAAUGUGAAGCCCACAAUUAUAUUCACACAUCCAUUUGCAACACAUUCAAAACCUUAAAAGUUGGUCUCAUAUUAUGGUUAACUUCAGAAUUGCAAAACAUACUGGCAUUUCAUCAGACAUAGUGCCUUUUCCUGUGAGCAACCCAUAAAAUAGUAAUAAAAAGCACUUUGCAACCAGCAAGAAAUUCAUACUGCAUGGCUCCUUUAUACCUUAUUGGCAAUGGGAUAAGGGACCUAGAAAUCCAAAGUGGGAAAAAGACAGGUUGAAGCUGAAAACCAAAUAAUGGGCAGUUAAUACCAUUGUAUACCAAUCUUUCUUGCCACAGAUUAACUCCUCCUAGCAUUUCCUAGAAUGACCCUAAAAUCACUAGAAGAACAACUGUUGCUUGCUAAUAAGAUUUUUUUUCAUUAACACACUGGCUCUUGCUGCUCCUAUUGACCAUUCUUAAUUGUGUGAUUCCCCAAAAGUUCCAACGAAGGAACUGGCGAAAAACAAAUAUUCACACAUCUGAAUCAAGUCUAACCUCCUCACAUGAGGAUGACAUGCUCAGGUUUAUUUCAAUUGCUAUUUUUGGAGCCUCUGAGGAAUUCUUUUGCUUUUCCUCCUUCCUCUUUUGAUGGCUCUUCUCUUUUUCCUACUCACGUGGUAGCUCUUCUUCUGGCACACAGCGGGCCUGUGUGGUAUCAGGGCUGAGGUUCAAUUGACUGAGGUCCUGUACUAGCGUUUUCCAAGAGGAUGAAUUCUGCCCUUCAGGAUUCCCAGAAACAGUCUCUUUUUGGAUCUGGCAGUAAUGACAUUUACAUUUAUUCCAAUCUUUAUUAUAUAAGGAAGAGAUUUUUC